GUUGUUUUCCUCAUUUUUUUUAGAUUCUGAUAACAAGACUCAAGAUGGAAAUUUGGAGAAAUCUUUUCAAUUGCUAGGCAAAAGGAAGGUCUGUAUUGUAUUGGAAGCUGGUAUGUGAAAAGAGUGGUCUAAUCCAUUGCUUUCGACUGAUCCCCAUGACAGAGCCGUGGCUCGAUUUUGGACUAAAUAUGUUGACAAUAAGGUAUAGACAAUCAGUAUGACGGGCCCUCAUAAUAGACAAGGUCAGCAUUCAGUGAAGGAUCAGUAAGACUCCACCUCAUUCGGAGUGCAGCCGAGUCUAUGAGUCAUCGUG